CCCCAGAGUCCCAGGAGGCAUGCAACCAGGAGCUCUUCUCAAGCGAGGAGGAAAGUAGCCAGUCGCAGCAGCCGGUACUUGGUGGAGGACAAGCAGAGGAGCAGGUUACCGUGUCCUUGACUACUCGACUGUCCAUAUCAUCGACUGCUCAGAGGCUACAAAACCUCAGGAAGAAGCCGCAAAAAAGCAAAGACGACAUGCUGAAAGCAGUUAUGGAUCACUCUGCCAGAGACAGUAAAAAACUGCAGGACUGGACGAAAAAACUGCAGGACUGGAGGGAAAGGGAAAGCAGCGGUUAAGAAGAAAAGCACAAAGCAGCUGAUAAGCAUCCUGGCGCACCAAGCGGACUCCAUCCAGUCACUCGUAGCCAUGCAGGCAGAGCACUACCGUGCCAGCCCUCCUCCGUCCCAAAGCUCUUUCCUUUGUGUCCCAAUGUCAGCUCCAAACCCCCUUCCCCAGCAUCCAAGUUCUUACCACCACCAGCUGCCCCCAACACCUGUACGUUCACCAACCAGUCCUGAGAACUACGACCCUUACCCUCUGCACUCAACCCCCAUCACCAUGAAGUAUAGGCAUCCUGAAGUGCAGCAGUCAUUGCACAGCACUCCAGACAGGACAUAUUCAAACCUGUGACUGUACAGUUCACCACCCCACCCUCCUGCCCUUUUAGGUUCCCAAAAUGUUGUGUGUCUGUCAAGAAAGUUAUUUUCUUUUCAAUAAAUGAA